AGUCGUGCAAUCGCGAAUAAAAAUCAUAUUGAAGCGCUUUAAGUGAGCUCAGUGCGUUCGAGUUUUUCAAAGGUGUUGCGUGAUUUUUGUAAAAUGAUGCAAGGCGCCGUAGGUGGUGAUGGCGGUGAUGAUGGUGACGAUAAGGAAAAGGCAGAGGAGGAGGAGAGAGAGCGUCAGGAGGCCAUACGUGAGGCCGAAGAACGGCGAAAGGAGAAGCAUCGUAAGAUGGAAGAGGAGCGCGAAAAGAUGAGACAAGAUAUUCGUGAUAAGUACAACAUAAAGAAAAAGGAGGAAGUUGUCGAAGCCGCGCCCCAAGAAGAACCCAAUCCGCUGAUGCGAAAGAAAAAGACGCCCGAAGAGUUGGCUGCCGAAGCGGAGCAGGAAGAGUUAGACGAUUUCACAAAACUGAAAAAUCAAAUAGAAACGCAAGUAAAUGAGCUAAAAACUCAAAUAGAGGGAAAAUGUGUCAUGCAGUGAUAUGUCAUCAUAUGAUUAUGAAUACCAAAUUAUACCUACAUAUAUAAACAAAACAAAUACAACAACAACAACAAAAUAACACAAAUAAAUGAAGCAAGCAAAUGCGUACGCAAGAAAUAUAUAACAAAGCAUAACAUAUAUAUAAACAAAUAUAUAUAAUUGAAAGCAUAAAUUAUAACGGUAAAAAUGCUAUAAUAUAACAAAAAUACUCAAUAUAUAACAAAAUUACAACAACCAAAAUACUUACAACAAAUUUUCCCCACUUCCCAAAUAAACUUAUAUAAUAUAUACAUAACAAAUAUAUAUAUAUAUAAACCAUAUAUAUAUACUCAAACAACAACUGCAGCAAAAAGAAGUAGCAGUAACCGAAAUUAAGACCGACAACCAUAACAAAGCAAACAAGCAAAACCAAAACCAAAACACCCAAGGACAUACAACCAAAACGCUGGUAAAUGGCGCAUAUACUAGCGUAUAAAUAUAUACACAUAUAACAUAUAGCAAAUAAAUAAUUACGUACUUAUAUACAACUAAAAGCAAGUAUAUAUAUAAAUGAAAGGAGUAAAUGAGAAAUUGUUUAAAAAGUCAUUAAAUAAAUUAGUAAAUUACCAAAAAAUAUUAUUUCAACCAAACAAUUAACACUACAUUUACGCAGGAUUAUAUAUACAAAUAGCAGAUAACAGUAAAAAUGCGGAUUAACUAAUAAUUUCAAAUAUAGAAAAGAUCACUUACAAUAAAAACACAAACAAAUAUAUGAAAAACAAUAAUAAAAUUAAACAUAUUUGCGCAUUGCACAGACAUAUUUGCCACAAAUAUGCGUAAAUGCAGCGAAACAAACAGACACAAAGCAAAUAAAUUAAUCACACAAUGAUCUAACGAGGAAAUGUUGAUAAAACUCACACCGUACAAGCCACAAAAAUUCAAAAAAACAUGAACACCGUUAAGUAAGUGAACAAGCAACGCUAUACCGCCAGAUACGCGCCACAAUGCAGAUUACAAAAACAAUGCAACCAAAAAAAAAUAAAAAUAAAAUUACAUAAUAAAACCAAAAAACACACAGCGCACGCAAUGCAAAAUCCAAACAACAACACUGUCAACGAAUGCUACAUACGCUAUUCCACUAACAACAACAAAAGCAGUGCUGCCUAAAAAAACACAACAAACAAUAAAUAUGCAACAAAAAUGUGGACAACGAGCGCAGCUGACCGAGGGGGGAUGCACAUUUAAAAAAGAGUGAACAACACUACGCGAUAUUGUUCGCGAGCGUUAUAAAAGUCAUGCUCAUCAAACGCUCGCGAAGCGAAAACCUAAAGGAAAGAUUGCUGCCGAGCAGCGAAGCAGUAGCGCAUGUCAAAAAAAAUCUAAGUAGGAAUAGCGUAACAGUUUGAAAAUUGCAAAAAUAAAGCAGAGAUGAAGUAACAACUGAAGUAUGAGAGAGAAAGAGAGAGAGAGAUAUAGAAAACCUAAAACGAAAAUGCCUUCAAAAUUUAAAUAAAAUUUAAAAUACAAAAACAAAAAAAAAACAACAACUAUCAUUUAAUAUAACGAGUACGCAAAUUUUGGCAUACAUAACAACAAAUAUCUAAUACAAUAACAAAUGAGACAUAACAAAUUGUAUAAAGCACAGUAAGCGCAUUGUUAGUAAAGCAUUCUCAAAACAACAAAACAUAAAAAAUCUAUUUCACUCUGCUCUAACAGAGCCUGCAAGCCACAAGCGAAAUCUAUGCAAACGUAACACACUUGAAAAUGUCCAAAGAAACACGCGAACUAUUCGAAAUACUCGUAAAAGUCGUAACUAACCUUAAAAAUUCCAACACUGCAACGUAGUUGGCUCGCUUACUUGCAUAAUACCACCCACACAUGUACAUGUACUUGCAAAUGACAGCGUUGCUGCACAGAAAGCAGCCGACUAUAUACAGUAGAGUUUUGUAGUUAAGCCAAAAUUGUACGAAAUUGCAUUUUUGAAUUGUUCGAAAUUGGUGAUUUGUUAUUGAUAUUGGCAAAAUGUUAUUUAAGAAAAAAAACAACCAAAAACAAUCUAUGAGACACAAAUUUCAGCAAACAACUGGCUAAUCUGUACAAUUUCUUUCUUUUACUAAACUCCCUCAAAAUAAAUAACAUACACACAAUGAGCCCUAACCUCUGAGAUUACACUGAAACGAAGAAACUGCAAAUUCAAUGUAUUUGAAAAUAUAUAAUAAAACAAGCUCGAUUUUGAGGCUUACCGAAAUUGAAGCUGAAAUUAUGUACAUAAGUAUGUGUGUUACGAAGUAAGCCAGACAAGUGUAAACGACAAAUCACAAACAUUAUGACAUGCGCGUGCACAACAACAGCAACAACUACAAGAGUUACAACCACAAAAUGGCUUGAACCAAUUCUCACCACCUCACAACUCAACACUUCGAUACUCGAUGCGGAAUGGUGCAUACGCAACCGGAAGCACACACACACAGGGAUUGCAACACAAGCGCCACAUGUUCGUACAUAAUGCAAUGCUAUAAAAAUAGUAUAAAAUCUACAUGUAUAUCUUUCUACCUGCGCCUUUUCUCAUUGUAACCUAGAGUAUACAUUUGUUGGUGUUUUUUUGGUUGUAGGCCAUGGUGCUUUUCAUGCUAAUUAUUUGUGAUUAGUCGCGAUUUUUAUGAGGUUACGUGACUUAUGUGUAAAUGCUUUAGUUCAUAAAUUAAGCCAUUGGAGGAAUGGCAUGCAUUUUGAAAAUAUAUUUAUCAAAAUUCUAAGCAAAAUUUAAUGAGAAUUCGUC